rnacentral:rRNA from 1 species
AGCAGCCGCGGUAAUUCCAGCUCCAAUAGCGUAUAUUAAAGUUGUUGCAGUUAAAAAGCUCGUAGUUGAACUUCGGGGUUCACCCAUUGGUCAGGCUUAACUGUCUGUACUGGUGAGAUGAAUCUCUACCUUCUGAGGAACUUUCAUGCCAUUUAUUUGGUGUGAUGGGAAAUCAGGACUGUUACUCUGAAAAAUUAGAGUGUUUAAAGCAGGCUAACGUCUGAAUACAUUAGCAUGGAAUAAUGAAAUAGGACGGACUGGUUCUAUUUCGUUGGUUUCUAGGAUCACCGUAAUGAUUAAUAGGGAUAGUUGGGGGCAUUAGUAUUCAAUUGUCAGAGGUGAAAUUCUUGGAUUUAUUGAAGACUAACUACUGCGAAAGCAUUUGCCAAGGAUGUUUUCAUUAAUCAAGAACGAAAGUUAGGGGAUCGAAGACGAUCAGAUACCGUGUAG